AAGGAUCAAAUUAAUCUGAUCAGUAAUCUUUGCUCAGUGAGGAGUGUGCUGCUGGUCUUAUCUAGCCUCCUUUUGAGAUUAAGCACAAGAGUGAAGAAUUGCAGGGCUUGGCAGUCUAUUUGUUGUUGAUCAUUCCCUGGUCAUAUUUUCCAUGUGUUUUAUGGGGGUAGGAUGAGUAUGCUCCAUUUCACAUGGCUGAGAUAAUAUUCCCCUGGAAUGGGGAAGACAUGGACUAACCUAAAUGAGAGGGAAAGAAACACCAGCAAGAAUCCAAACCCACCAAAACCAAACCAAGCCUCUGGGGCUUUGGGGAGGGUCGAGGUAAAAACCAGCUUCUCAUGAUUUCAUCAAGCCAUGGUUGCUGUCCUGCUGCCCUCACCCUAUACUGGUGGCCCCACUGAAAGCAAUGGCCUAGUUUAAGGGUUAGGACACUCCGGAUCAGCAGUGCACUUCAAUAUGCACUCAACUGAAACAUCCAAACAAUCCCUUUGUAUUCAGUGGCUGCACUCAGCGUUAAAAAUAAGCCUGCUGUUAAGUGCCUUCAUCAGCUCUAGGUCUAAUUAUUUACUUUACAUGAGUAGUUCCAGAGGAACUCAGGUCUUUGCUGUUUGGGUAAGGAAACAAGAAAAACAGCCCCCGCUUCUGGUUUACGCAGUGGCGAAAUGAAGUGUGCUUUGUAGGGGUAAAAUUUCACUUUGCAUUGACCUUCUGCACUGUUCCUCUCUCAAAAGCAGUCUCCAGGGGAGCAUCAGGGCUCACAGAGCAAAUGGGCACUGUGUUGACCCUGCAGACUUCCAUCGUUGAUGUCCUUCCAUUGGGGGCUUCAGAGGUGUCUUCCAGGGUUUCCAUCCGUUCCAUGAGAGGCCAGCACUAUUAAUAUUCCUGAUCAUAAACUCCAGAGAACCACAAGCAAAGCUCCCGCACUCUCAGAAUAGCUCCAGUGCUAAAUAUAGGGGAUUUUUAUGAAUCUAUUUGCCACUUCCAUUAGUCAGGGCAGAAAUACAUUAUUGUAAGAUGUCUAAGCAUUUUGUCAUUGCUCACUGGCUGUUUCAAAACGUCGUCUAAGCAGUUAUCACUGUAUUUCUGGUUGAUAUUAUAACAACCACUGGCUAAUCACAGAGUCAGCAGUGAAAACUGCUCUAAUCGUUAUCUUUCUGGCUAAGUAACUUCCCCGUUAUUUGUUGUACACCGCAGAUUUUGGCACGUGGGGCUUCUUUUUUUUUCUCUUCUCAUGUUAAAUGUGAGAUUUUAUCCUCAAAGGAGUGAUUAUCUCCGAGCAAAAUUGGCAAGGUUAAACACUAUCUAUAAAAAACCAGUCAGCAGUGUGCCAUGAAAUGAAUUGCAUCAUAUAUCACUCAUCUACCUGGCGUUUGAAAAAGUGUGAAUAUGUGUUUGUUCAGUUUGGGUGAGUACUUUAUAUUAGGCUUCUUUUUCCAUGAAGGUAAAAAUGACCUUGAUUAUUAGAAAGUGAAGAUAUAUUGAAGCGGGUAGAAUCGACACAGCUCCAUUUCAUUUAGUCCCCACUAAAAUUGAAAGAAGACGAAAAUAGAGAUUGAAUUUAUUUUACUAUAUAUUGCCUCAUUUGAACUUUAGUAAAGCAUUAGCCACCAAGGAAAAGCCUUCUCCCACCUCCCUUCCAUAAUCUCUUACAGAUGGAAGGUUAAGGAAAUUGUCCUGACUUUAUUGAUUCUUUGCUAUGAGGUUCAACCAACAGCUGGUGUGUUACUGGGGAAAUGUGUGCUGUGCUAUAGUUACUGGAAAGCAGCGUUUUGACCUGGCAGCUCUGUGUACCCAUAUGAAAAAGCUCCUGACACUUUUAAAUCCCAAAUUGGUCUAUUCCCCCCCCCCCUUAUACCUUAAUACAUCGUCUCUUUAGGACCCCACCGAAAAAGCUGUAUUAUACCAAUCCAAGUAUUUUACAGAAUGAAGGAAAAUAGUACCCUGCCAAGAUGGAAAGCCACAGGCUGCAAACUAGCUGCUAGAUUCUGCCAGGUCACUUGAAUUGUCUAUUAGUUCCAGAAAUACUUCCCUUGUGAUUGUUAUAAAAUGACCAGUGUGUGAUGCUGCGUGCUGCUGGCCUCUGGCAGUUCGAUCAUUCAUCAGGUGGAACUUCAGACACCUCCUGAUUCAAAUUUCCUGUUAAAAUGAAGGGAUCAACGUGAACCCUUUCUUCUCCCUUUAGGUUGAUUUUGAGACUAAUUGGUGUCUUCAAAAUUCUGGGGAGCAUUUUCAGCUGGCAUCAACCAGCCCAGCUCUAGUGGAGCCCACAGAGAUGAAUGUCACCCGAAGCAGUGCUCUGAGAGACUACAGUCAUGAUUGCCAAUAGCCAACAUCCAGACUAAAAAUAAAAACCCUCAGCAUGGGACUGAGCGACAAGCAAUCCAUCCUCUGGCAAAAAUCACCCAUCACCUCACCCCUCCAGCCCUGUCUUCUUCAUGCUGAAAGAAGCAAUAUCUAACAGCAUCAUCAAGAGAUCAAGGUGGCUCAUUGAAAGCACUAGGCAAGCUGAUCUCUCCAUUUUGUGAAUGUCUGUGUUUAACAGCCAUCAGAUUUUGGCUGGUCAGUACACACAGUGGAGGGAAAGAGAAGGUUUGUCAGUGGAAUAGUUAUUUGGCCCUGGGAGAAUUCUGGGGAGCUGUUACAAAAUCCCUAUUUUUGGCCCCAGAAAUAACACAUCAUCUUUUUCUUUUCCCCUGUGCUUUUAACAGUCACCUUUCACAGAGGUGGGUUAGUCUGAAAGGAUCCCACCUGCAGAAAGGAAGGAAACCUAAGGGAAACAUAUUCUGGGAGAGCCACAGUCCCUGCCUUGCUUCCUCCUGGCUGUCACAGGGAUUGAGAUCUCAGGGUUUGGCCUAGCCUAUGAAUUUUUGCAUAUUACACCUGAGAUGGGCUGAAAUAUUUAUUUCCCCUUCUUUUUCAUUAGUAUUUAACACGCAAGGAGAAUCUGUCUACUUGCCAGGCUGACCUUGCUCAGAAUGGGGUCUAGAGACCAGUGCUUUCCAUGCCACCAGUAGCGCAUACACUUGGGCUAAGCAGAAGUACUUCUGGCAGCUGAUCCACCAGUGUUUGUUAGGGCUGAUCCUGGCUCUGCAACAAAAGCUUUCCUGAGUUUUACAUGUGGUAACCUCACAAGAUGAAGACACUAAAAAAUAAUGUGGCACUCUACCCUUGUGACAAUACAUAAAAGGCCACAUCUUUGA